GUGACUCUGAUUACUCAUCUCUGUUCAUCGAGUCGGGCUCAGGUGCACUUCCAGAGGAAGUGUCCAGGAGCCCCAGCCCGAGAAGAAGCUGGCAGAAGUGGAUCUGAUCAGCCUGAACAUCCUUCUAAGCAGAAAUGAGCAGUCCUCAGCUUCCUGCCUCGCACAUAACAACACUUCAUGACUUUUAGCAGCACGGCUGACAGUUAAGAUAAAUGCAUGGUAGAGGCUGAGUACAGGCGGCUGCUUCACUUUAGUACCACAGACAAAGAAGUCAAGGGUAAGAGCUCACCCCAGUUGUGAGAUGGAAAGCGCACAAGAGCCGUGAGACAGCGAGCAUUGCUGAUGCCAGGAUAUGCAGAUGCCGUCGAGCUGGAAGUGGAGCAGCCGUGACCAUCAGUGAGAUAAGUGUCUGGUUUGGGGAGGACUCUGGUAACGGCCCACCUGCCUCCAGGCUGAGACUUGUCGUUAGCUGGGGCUCAGUUUGUAGGAAAAGGUUCCUGAGUAGCUGUGGUUAGGAGGGAGACAAGGUCCCCAUUUCAAGGGCUGCUCAUUUCUCUGUCCAUAAAUGGUGUUCUCUCUAGCAGUCAGGGCUGGCUCCAGGCACCAGUUUAUCAAGCAGGUGCUUGGGGCGGAAACUCCUGAGCAGGGCGUCACUUUCAGGUAUUCGGCGAAGGGUCCCUCACUAGGAGCAAAGGACCUCCCGCUGAAUUGCCACAGAUCGCGAUCGCGGCUUUUUUGGCUGCUUGUGGCAGCAAAACCCCUGGAGCCGUCCCUGCUAGCAGUAGGUUCAAUCCAAGGGGAUGACUCCAGUUUCUUGCCUUCCUCCUGUGUUUUUUUUUUCUCUCUCUCUUCUAAUGUGUUGGCCAACACUCUCUCCCUGUGUCCAUCUCUCUCUGUCCUUGCCUCUCCUUGUGCUGUUUCCCUUCAUAGGACAUGGGCAGUGGUGCUAGCUGUGCAUCCCCACAGGCUAGGUCUCGGGAGCCAUGAAGAAGUAGGAGGGGAUGAAAAUCAUGCUGGACAGUGGGCGCGAGAGUGGAGCAGUGACUCAGUGUUUACUCGGUCUGUAUUCAGUGAGUGGAUUUCACGCACCAAUAGAGCUAUAUGUAGUGAUGUCUCAUGCCUGGCUUUUGCAGCUGCGCUUCUAGAGGAAUCAUGGAGGAGCAGCAGCCGAAGGAGAAGGUGGCAGACGUGGACCUGAGCAGCUUGGACAUUGUUCUAAGCAGAGAUUAACAGUCCUCAGCUUUCUG